AGACGAACCGUCCAAACGUUAUUCGGAAUCACUGGGCUUAAAGGGUGCGUAGGCGGUCCUGAAAGUUGGGUGUGAAAGCCCUCGGCUCAACCGAGGAAUUGCGCCCAAAACUACAGGACUUGAGGGAGACAGAGGUGAGCGGAACUUAGGGUGGAGCGGUGAAAUGCGUUGAGAUCCUAGGGAACACCAGUAGCGAAAGCGGCUCACUGGGUCUCUUCUGACGCUGAGGCACGAAAGCUAGGGGAGCGAAGAGGAUUAGAUACCCUCGUAGUCCUAGCCGUAAACGAUGAGCACUGAUUUGGAGGCUCCUCCAUAGGCUUCCAGAUGUAGCGAAAGUGUUAAGUGCUCCGCCUGGGGAGUAUGGUCGCAAGGCUGAA
rnacentral:rRNA from 1 species